rnacentral:tRNA from 2 species
GCCCGGGUGGUGGAAUUGGUAGACACACUCGUUUCAGGGGCGAGCGCCUAACAGCAUGCUGGUUCGAGUCCAGUCCCGGGCACCA